UGUAUAAUUUAAUGUAUAAUUGUAUGAAUUGAUUAAAAUCUUUUGUGCUUUUUAUUUCUCUACAGAUCUUGAGAUGGCCAUUGCCUACUGGAAUCUUAUUUUUACUGGUCGCUUCAAAUUUUUGGACUUUUGGUGUGAAUUUUUAAAAAGCAAUACUCAAACACACUUGGAACCUUCUGCUAGAGACAAGAUGGAGUGUGUGCUUAUGGAAAUAUUCAAAAAACCAAUCAAAUUCCGUUGACGAGGACAAGAUUUUGGCCGAAGGUAUGACCAGGUUCUGUCCUGACCUGAGACUAGAUCCAGGGAGUGUUGCUGUAUUAAUGAUACACACGUAGCCUGGAAACUUAAUGCUGCUACACAGUGUGAGUUCACUAGGCAGGAAUUUGUAGAAGGGAUGACCAGAUUAGGUCUCAUUAUGAAAAAGCAAUACCCAAAGACACUUGGAACCUUCUGUUACAGUUUUCUAACAGGAUUGAUGAGACCAUGAGCAAUUAUGAUGAAGAUGAUAGGUGCUUGGCCAGUCCUUAUUGACGAAUUUGUAAAAUACGCUCGACCUUUAAUAGCCAACACUACAGCACCAGCUGCUAGUAGUAACAGCUAAUAAUAAUUAAUUAUAUUAAUUGGUGAUAAUAUGCAGCAAUAACUGAUACACAUACACAAUUUAUGAGCUAGUGGAAUUAAUGAACUAUUAGAGACACUAUAAUGUGAUACACACACACACCAAUGUCUAUUUUUAUCUUACUACUCCUCUCAUUUCUUUCUCUCCCUCUCUCUCACUUUCCUGGAAUUAUUAUUAUUAUUGUGUUGAGAUAGAGCAAUAAUAAAAAGUACCAUGCUGUAAUAAUGAUAAUGAUAAUAAGUUGCUUCUUUUUUGUUUAACUUUCUUUUUGAUUAGACUAUGAUUCAGGUCCACUUUUAA